UCAACUGGAUUUAGAAGACUCUCGACCUGGUCUCCAUCAUCCGUGGGUUGUCUUUCCAUCUCCCAGCCGCUCUUCCACCUGGAGGUGAAACCAGAGCUUCUGCCUGCAUGGAACAAGAGCAAGAGAAAGGCCUAGGAGACUGACCUGCUUAUCCAUGCUACUUAUCAGGAACUG
rnacentral:lncRNA from 1 species